CAUUGGCCUUUCACUAGGGUUUCUGGGGAACGCUCCGCCGAGUUCCGCCGGCCCUUGUUACGUCCCUUCGUCCUCCUCGGAUCUCGUCCUCGACUACCUCCGCCGACUCUCCGUCGUCUCGGACAGAGAUAGUGUUUGUCUUGCGGCGGGGAUGGAGCGGCUCUGCUCGGCCGAGUCACCACGAUAACCCAUCUGGGUGUCCCUUGGAAGAUUUCACAAAACUUUGAUGUUGUUGAUAAGGUUUGAGUCAACAUAUAAAGCACCAGAACAAAUGGUGUAUCAUAAGCAAAUCAAGAACAGCAGCCACCUCCUUACAAGUGAAAUAUAUGAGAAGCCAUAGCCAUCAUGGAUCUACACUCAACACAAUGUUGCUCUAGCAAAUGCACCCAUCAAAAUUUGGUGCAAACUGUCACUCAAAUAAAUUUCAAAUGGGUAUAUGCAGCUGCCAACACAAAAAGUUGGCAAAUUUCAAGUAAGUGUUUUGUGUGAGAAGGUUAAAGAGUGAGCCCCAGUUCAGCUCCUGAAAUGAAGGUUUCCUUGUUAUUCUGAACCACCUGUAACAGAGAUGUCUCAGAUUAGUCUAGACUGCAACUUGAACCUGUAAAUGUUGCCCUGCAAACUCCAAAUUGAAUAGACAAAACUUAGUAACACUGAA